AAGUGCCCCCAGAGUCGUCUUCAUACCAUCCUGACAGAUCACCGCUUCUUCUUCUCCAGCAUGUCCCAUGAGAGGGAGCUCCCGGUUUCGUUAGGAGUCAGCCGUCCCUUGGGAGGAGAGCCCCAACUUACCUGCAGACUUUCUUCUUUUGGCCUGAAACUGUCUUUUCUGAUAUAUAUGACUCGGGGGUGCGGGGCAGCGACUUGGUGAUGUAAGUUACAGAGAGCGUCCGUCUGCCACGAAGCAUGCGUUUCUGCUGCACCCGCCUCCCAAGCUCAUUCUCCGCAGUGCUGUUCAUCAGCACAGCCGGGACCCCAAAUGGCAGGAAAGACGGACGACGAGCUGGAGAAUUGAGCUCUUAGGAAUUCAGGG
rnacentral:lncRNA from 1 species